rnacentral:rRNA from 1 species
GAACUGAAGAGUUUGAUCAUGGCUCAGAUUGAACGCUGGCGGCAGGCCUAACACAUGCAAGUCGAGCGGUAGAGAGAAGCUUGCUUCUCUUGAGAGCGGCGGACGGGUGAGUAAUACCUAGGAAUCUGCCUGAUAGUGGGGGAUAACGUUCGGAAACGGACGCUAAUACCGCAUACGUCCUACGGGAGAAAGCAGGGGACCUUCGGGCCUUGCGCUAUCAGAUGAGCCUAGGUCGGAUUAGCUAGUUGGUGAGGUAAUGGCUCACCAAGGCUACGAUCCGUAACUGGUCUGAGAGGAUGAUCAGUCACACUGGAACUGAGACACGGUCCAGACUCCUACGGGAGGCAGCAGUGGGGAAUAUUGGACAAUGGGCGAAAGCCUGAUCCAGCCAUGCCGCGUGUGUGAAGAAGGUCUUCGGAUUGUAAAGCACUUUAAGUUGGGAGGAAGGGCAGUAAAUUAAUACUUUGCUGUUUUGACGUUACCGACAGAAUAAGCACCGGCUAACUCUGUGCCAGCAGCCGCGGUAAUACAGAGGGUGCAAGCGUUAAUCGGAAUUACUGGGCGUAAAGCGCGCGUAGGUGGUUUGUUAAGUUGAAUGUGAAAUCCCCGGGCUCAACCUGGGAACUGCAUCCAAAACUGGCAAGCUAGAGUAUGGUAGAGGGUAGUGGAAUUUCCUGUGUAGCGGUGAAAUGCGUAGAUAUAGGAAGGAACACCAGUGGCGAAGGCG